AUAAUAUAAUCAAUCAUUUGUUAUGGCUUCAAGGUGCCUACCGUUUUUUCCUCUCCACCGCGUUAUGGUGGUGCUCCACCACCUUCGCCAGUCUCCAUGGCUGAACGACCUCCAUUGCCACCACCCUCAUCCACAAUGCCGCCACCACGUAGACCGCCUGUUCCGCCACAUUGAUGAAGUCCAACAUUAUAUUCGCCGCUACAGGCUACUCCCUACGGUGGUAACCCACAGCAGGCGUCGCCCUCUAAACCAGUGUAACCACCACCGGGAGCAGUUCAUGGAACUUAGAAGGGUUCACCAAAACCAACUACGUGAGUCACUCACAAGAAUCCGACGGUGCAUAAGGCCCCUCAGGCAUUACCACGUCUUUCACCAACCGGACCAGAUCACACGUUACUACCAAAGCAUGAACAUCCUCAACAUUUUCACCAACCAACUAUAAGAGGUGAGACAGGGUUAAGGACCGUUUCAAAUAUACGGAAUGGUUGUUUCAGAAUCUGAAGAGGUGGUGUUUAGGUUCACUAGCACCACAUGAUACGCUUAAUUUUGUGUUAUUGCCGAGUCUCUUCUUCAAAUGUGGCUUUGAAUUGUUGCAAUACGACUUUCACAAUGUACGUGGAUGCAUAGAUCCAAUCAUACACUAGAGAGAUACGAACGACCAGAGGCCUCCAUUAAAACCAAGCUUCAACAGGCUAAUCCAUUUCCCUUCCUUCACUUUUUACCUGCGUGCAAGAGAUAACCCUUUCAGCUUACUCCAGUCAUCGAAACAGAAUUUUAGACCCGAACUCUUGAUGCCCUUCGGUUGGGGAGAAUAUCUUCCAUCAAUUUCUGCUUCUGUUCCUUCUGCCUAGAUCCAACAUAAACCAUAGACACAAAAAAAAGGAUGGCGAUGCGACGCAGAUCUACGUCGUCGGUGGAGUAGAUCCGGCAGGGGACAAGAUGAUGCGAACAAUCGAAGGGAGGAGGGAGUUGUUAAACGAAUGCGAAGUCCUUGGAGUUGCCAGUGCAGUGGUCUUCGGGGAUGAAGAUGUCGAUGGCAUGUCGCCGUACGUGUGGAAGAAAGGGAAGAGGUCAUAGGCGAUUGUACGGAACGUUACUACGUUUAGACAGGGGUUUUGUGCUUGCAGAUUGCAAUAACAGCUAUAGCCAAUGCUAUUUGGGGUUUAGGGAUUGCAUAUUAGGGUUUGUGAGGAGGAAAGAAAUAGUGAAUGCUUUCGUGAAAAACCAAGAAUGUUGAAUUAAAUAUAUUUAGUUAAAAGAGGAGUCUAGGAGUUAGUAACUUUUGUGUUUUGUAAUUAUCAAUUGGCCAUCAAUAAUAUUUUUAAUUGUGUGAAUUUAUAUCCAAUGAUAGGAGAUUAUUCAUUUUUUUAUGGUUAA